AACCAUUUCAGCCCAUGUGAGGAGAAAAUAAAGGGAGGAAACAUCAGUAUUCAAGACCCUGAUUCGGAGAAUUUCAAAUGUAAGUAAAGGAUGGUGGGGAAGCCAGCUUGCUUCAGCUAAAAGUAUGUCAGCAGUUCAUUCCUGAAUCCCAUUAUUCUGAGAUUCAUACUUUACACAUAAAUAUCAUUCACCCUGGGCUACAAUAUGGAAUACCAAGUCUUGGCCCAUUAGCGGUUUCCUUAAGCAGGUUCUCAUAACUCUUUCCAACUAUACAAAUAUAAGAAAAAUACAAGAAAAAUGUAGCCCUGGUAAAAGUGCAUUUUAUAUUCACAUGCUUCUUAUGAAAAUAUGCCUGUAAAUGGUCUGCAGUAUUUUAGCUGAAUCAGGGGAAAUGACCUAUAAUCUAAGUAUAAUUUUGAGCUGCUUGUGGUGGUUGUGAAUGUUUUGUUCUGUUAUGUGUCCAUUAAGGCUGAGCUGGAUAUGAAAUUGUUGUGUGUGUGUGACCAACACAGAAUAUCACAUCAUUUCCUGCAAGAAACCAUAUUGGCUGCAUAAUAUCACAUGAAGGGCCAUCUCUACCAUUCAGCUGAAAAUAAUGACCACAAAAUGUUGCCACAGUCCUAGUAUUGAUGUGUAACUGCCAACUGUGCUGGUCACACAGAAGGGUAAAAAGUAUCACCAGCAAAGCAAAUUGAUAUGAUAUUUAUUCUGCGUCCGUUGAUUAAGAUCCAGACCACACUAACUGCUCUGAAACCAGAAUGACCGUUAGGGUUUGAUUCAGCAGCUGCUUGCCAGUUACACCAUUUGUUGCUCAAUAGGAAAGUAGUUGAAUGGACAAGACUGGAUAGCUCAGAAUUAUAGUUCAAUUACAGUGGUACCUCGGGUUACAUACACGUCAGGUUACAUACGCUUCAGGUUACAGACUCCGCUAACCCAGAAAUAUUACCUCGGGUUAAGAACUUUGUUUCAGGAUGAGAACAGAAAUUGUGCUCCAGCAGCAGCUGGAGGCCCCAUUAGCUAAAGUGGUGCUUCAGGUUAAGAACAGUUUCAGGUUAAGAAUGGACCUCUGGAACGAAUUAAGUACUUAACCCGAGGUACCACUGUAUAGAUCACUUUGUUCCCCAUGUCAGAGAGGCAGCAGCAGAGCCUUUGCCCGUGCUGCGCAGGGCGGGCGCGCUCCCGAGGGGCACAGAGGGUGCCCUCGCAGGUGCGGGAUAGCCGCCCGGGUGCACGGAGCGGCACGUGUGCCCUGCAAUCAGGGGCGGAGCGAGCUGCCCAUGGGGGCAGAGCGAGCUACCGAUGGCGGACAUUCGGCGCACCGCCCGCCCACGACUCCCAAGCCUUCCCCACCUGUCAAAACAAAGGGAGAAGGGGGGAAUGCCAUCGGCAAAGUGGCGCAGCUCCCCCAACGGCUCAGGGUAGGCUUGGGAGUCGCGGGUGGGAGGCGUGCCAAAUGUCACCCCCCCCUCCCCGCGAAGACACCCGGGGCGGUCCACCCCUUCUUCCACCCCGUAGAGAGAACGAAACAUUCUUCUUGCCUCUCCAUCAUAUAUGCAAGAUGGAAUGUUGUUUAGUCAUUUAGUCGUGUCCAACUCUUCGUGACCCCAUAGACCAGAGCACGCCAGGCACUCCUGUCUUUCACUGCCUCCCGCAGUUUGGUCAAACUCAUGCUGGUAGCUUCAAGAACACUGUCCAACCAUCUCGUCCUCUGUCGUCCCCUUCUCCUUGUGCCCUCAAUCUUUCCCAACAUCAGGGUCUUUUCCAGGGAGUCUUCUCUUCUAAUGAGGUGGCCAAAAUGGAAUAGUCCCCUUUAAAGUCUGUAAGAUUGCAAUCACAUACCAGCCAGUAUUGGAAAAAUGCAGAAGACAGAAGCACCACUUCCUACCUGCCAUGACCCCACUUUGCACAAGGCCCUUCCUCUGGACAAGGGCUCCUCUCCCUUGGACCACCUACAGUGGAGCUUUUAAAAAACACAACCUAAUUUGUAUUUCAUUGUAAAAGGUUAACUUAAUCCAUCACAAGUGAACUUCUUAUUGGCCUCUUGGGACGUCUGUUGUUCAAAUUAUUUCCUUCGUGAAUAAAUCGUUCAUUAACUUUGGCCUCAAUUUCUAUUUUUGGAUAGCUCUUGAUAUUUUCAAAGGGAUUAAAGGCUACUUGUGAAUCAUUCAAUGUAAGUCCUGCAUGAGAAUCUCUCGUUAAUUGUGCUUGAUUGGCCAUCAAGCAGCGGUUAUCAAGUUCUGUACACCUUCGCCCAUCUGUUGAUUAUAACUAAGGAUGGGCAAAUCUGUCAAUUUUGGUUUCUCUCAGUUUCUCAUUUCUCCAACCCUAAAUUAAUUACCCAACAUUUUUGCAUCAGUUAGCUAUUUUUUAAAAGAAGUCCUUAUAAAAAAUUCAUCAGCAUUGUAGUAUUAUGAAUUUCCCCUAGUUUGCACAUUUUUUGUAAAGCAAUUUCCCCUAAUAUGCAUGUCAUUUUCACUGAUAUACGAAGUUUUAUGCCCACUUCAUCCCAGUAUAUGCAUUUUUUAAUAUAUUACUUGGCUGGAGAAUUGCAGAAUUCGGGGAGGUGCAAAUUUCAAAAGACAACUGAGUUUCAGUUCUCACCUUUGUCAUUAUAUGGGAACAGAAUCAGAUUUCUCCCCCAUUCCUAUUUAUGAAUAAUGGUUAAAACACCAGAAUUCAGAAAAUGUAUGAGAAUUAGCAACAGGCAGGCUGGGGGUCAAUACUCCAUGGGAUUUCCAUCUGGGUUCAAUAAUAAGCCUUCAUCCCAAUUCUCCCAGCGCUUAACACACCUCAGGCACCUUGUCUUGUAACAGGUGAGGUAAAAGAGGAGGAAAUCUAUAAGUUCUUCCUCUCCAGUAUGACUAGUAACAGAAGUCUUGGCAAAUCACCCCCUCCUUAUGAUAGGCUUCAAGGACACAGUCCAUCAUAAAGGCAAGUAGCUUGUUAAUCCCUCCCCUUACAGUGAUACAGGCUAUGUCAGAGUCCAUUUCUUAUGUAUCUCAACUUCUCAUUCCCAUCUGCCUGUGCUUUGGUGCCUACAGAGGACUAGUCAGCUGCUUUUGUACUUGAUGAUGGUUCUAUCAAAGCUUCUGUUGCGCACCUGGGAAGAGCAUUAGACCACUUUUUGCUUGAACUGCAGCUGGUUCGGACUGAGUCAGAGGGGAGAGCAAAAGGGUUGGUUCUAAUUUCAAAAUGUUGACCAAGUAGGAUACAGGUAGAAGUGGGCAGACCCCGUUAUUCUUAAGCAGUGUUGAGGAGCCCAUAGCAAGAAUCCCACAAGGACAUCACAAUUAUUUCCCACUCCUUUCGUUAUUAUUAUAUCAACCAACCUUCCAUGUUCAGAUUGAGAGAUUUCUCAAGUGUAUACAUCCUUUACUUAUAAUGUGGCUCCUCCUCCCUUCCUGCUUCACCUCUUGCUUUUGAGUAAGUUAAACCCUUCCGUUCCUAUAUUCCAAUCAUGAACCUCGCCCCACCAGGUUUUGGUAAUUCCAUUAAAUCUUAUUGGCCUUCCUUUAAUAUUGUAAAUUCAGUAUGCUUAUUUCCCAUAAUCCAUUGUUCUUAUUUCCCAUAAUCCAUUAUGCUUAUUUCCCAUAAUCCAUAUACAGUGGUACCUCAGUUUUCGAACGUAAUCCAUUCCGGAAAACCGUUCGAGUUCCGAGACAUUCAAAAACCAAAAACUCAAUACAGAAGCCUCAAUGCGGAAAACUCAAUACGGAAGCCACAUGGCAUGUUUGACUUCCGAAAAGUGUUCAAAAACCGAAGCAUUUACUUCCAGGUUUACGGCAUUCGAAAACCGAAACGUUCAUCAAUGGAGACAUUUGAAAACCGAGGUACCACUGUAUUUGCAUAGGGACACUGUAAACCAUUGCACUCUUCCUGUUUUUAAUUGCAUAUCAGUACAUACCCAGGUCUACAUCUCAGUUUGCUGUCCCCACACAAGAUAUGGUGUUGUCGUCCAGGAUCCCACUGCUCUCCCUUGUAGGGCAUAGUUUAAAGCCCCCCUGAUGAAACUCCUGCCAAACACUAUUUUCCAUGUCCUCAUGAGGCGACACCCAUCUCUCACCAGAGGUCCUUCAUCACUGACCAUGAUCCAAGAAUCCAAACUUUUUCUGAUGACAAUACGGUCAGUCACUAACUUCCAACUUUCUUGCCUCUCUUCCUAGGCCACGACUUUCAAUUGGAAGCAGUGAUGAAAACACCACAUGAGUGCCAAGGUCUGUCACCUUCAUUGUCUCUUGAAAUACGUUCAGAAACUGGGUUUGGCAGUAUCAUUUGUGGAACAGCAGGAAAGGCUUGUGGACAGUGGUCUGGAUGAGUCUUGGCAAGCAUUUGAUCAUAUCCUGGGUACACUCACUAAGGAGACAAUACACUUCCACUGGAAAACUAUCAGGAGAGCACACAGUUGCCUCUGUUCCUCUUAAUUUAGAAUCACCAAUUACCACCAAAUGUCUCCUCAACAGUUAAGUAUGCAAUAGCCGUUAAUAGAACCUAUAGGUACGGUAUUUCCAACUGAUGGGGGUCAUGCCUUUUAUUUUGCCGGACAAUUCCAAGCCAUCUUUAAUUGCAAUUAAGUGAAAACAACAACAAUAUCAUCAACAGCAGCAACCAAGAAAAAGCUAAGCUACAAAAUGAGCUGUAGCCUAAGC